GUCGCUAUCGUCUAGUGGGUAGGACGUCACGUUGUGGCCGUGACAACGUCGGUUCAAA
rnacentral:tRNA from 1 species